ACCGGCGAUGUCCGAAUGGGGAAACCCAGUGCAAUUCGUUGCACUAUCGUUAACUGAAUACAUAGGUUAACGAGGCGAACCGGGGGAACUGAAACAUCUAAGUACCCCGAGGAAAAGAAAUCAACCGAGAUUCCCCCAGUAGCGGCGAGCGAACGGGGAGCAGCCCAGAGUCUGAAUCAGCUUGUGUGUUAGUGGAACGGUCUGGAAAGUCCGACGGUACAGGGUGAUAGUCCCGUACACCAAAAUGCACAGGCUGUGAACUCGAAGAGUAGGGCGGGACACGUGGUAUCCUGUCUGAAUAUGGGGGGACCAUCCUCCAAGGCUAAAUACUCCUGACUGACCGAUAGUGAACCAGUACCGUGAGGGAAAGGCGAAAAGAACCCCGGCGAGGGGAGUGAAAAAGAACCUGAAACCGUGUACGUACAAGCAGUGGGAGCACCUUCGGGUGUGACUGCGUACCUUUUGUAUAAUGGGUCAGCGACUUAUAUUCUGUAGCAAGGUUAACCGUAUAGGGGAGCCGCAGGGAAACCGAGUCUUAACUGGGCGUUAAGUUGCAGGGUAUAGACCCGAAACCCGGUGAUCUAGCCAUGGGCAGGUUGAAGGUUGGGUAACACUAACUGGAGGACCGAACCGACUAAUGUUGAAAAAUUAGCGGAUGACUUGUGGCUGGGGGUGAAAGGCCAAUCAAACCGGGAGAUAGCUGGUUCUCCCCGAAAGCU
rnacentral:rRNA from 1 species